GGUUGGCCGCAGCAGGGGUUAAUGGCUGGUGGGAACGCGCGCGACCGUCUUUUAAUUAUGUACGUACGUACUCGCGUCCGGUAGUUCUUCAUCUUUCUGCCCUGAGCACUAAAUUUAGGUCUAAACUCAAAUCUUAAGCUAAACUAAAAUUAGGUGUCAACUCAGCCUUCUGCACUAAGCACUAAAGUUAGGUAUAAACUCAAAUCCUCACCUAAACUUAAAUUUAAGGUAUAAACUCAAGUCUAAAAUUAGGUGUAAACUCAAAUCUAAAAGUAAACCUUAAGUAAGGUCUCAACUCAAAUGUAAAACUUAAACUUUAAGUGAGGUAUAAAGUUUCUCAUCUUUCUGCACUAAGCACUAAAGUUAGGUAUAAACGCUUCGGUUGGCCGCAGCAGGGGUUAAUGGCUGGUGGGAACGCGCGCGACCGUCUUUUAAUUAUGUACGUACGUACUCGCGUCCGGUAGUUCUUCAUCUUUCUGCCCUGAGCACUAAAUUUAGGUCUAAACUCAAAUCUGAAGCUAAACUAAAAUUAGGUGUCAACUCAGCCUUCUGCACUAAGCACUAAAGUUAGGUAUAAACUCAAAUCCUCACCUAAACUUAAAUUUAAGGUAUAAACUCAAAUCUAAAAUUAGGUCUAAACUCAAAUCUAAAAGUAAACCUUAAGUAAGGUCUCAACUCAAAUGUAAAACUUAAACUUUAAGUGAGGUAUAAAGUUUCUCAUCUUUCUGCACUAAGCACUAAAGUUAGGUAUAAACGCUUCGGUUGGCCGCAGCAGGGGUUAAUGGCUGGUGGGAACGCGCGCGACCGUCUUACGUACGUACGUACUCGCGUUAGGUAGCUCUUCAUCUUUCUGCCCUGAGCACUAAAUUUAGGUCUAAACUCAAAUCUUAAGCUAAACUAAAAUUAGGUGUCAACUCAGCCUUCUGCACUAAGCACUAAAGUUAGGUAUAAACUCAAAUCCUCACCUAAACUUAAAUUUAAGGUAUAAACUCAAAUCUAAAAUUAGGUCUAAACUCAAAUCUAAAAGUAAACCUUAAGUAAGGUCUCAACUCAAAUGUAAAACUUAAACUUUAAGUGAGGUAUAAAGUUUCUCAUCUUUCUGCACUAAGCACUAAAGUUAGGUAUAAACGCUUCGGUUGGCCGCAGCAGGGGUUAAUGGCUGGUGGGAACGC